rnacentral:lncRNA from 1 species
GGGGAAGCUCAAGAACGUCGAUUGCAGGAACAACACUCUCAUGCCCUGAAGGCCUUGGGCAUUAUUAGGGAUAAUACUGAAGUUAACCCUGAAGAAGAAUAUCAAGCCACUAUCUCUAAAAAUGAUAAGGUUGUCAAGGAGGAAAAGAUAGAGGAAGAAGAGAUAGAGAGAGAUUUAAUAGAAGAAGAAACAGAAGAGUUGGUUGAGGAAGAUAAAGAUGAUGAGAGAGAAAAAGCAGUGGUUAAGAAAAAAGAAAAAAGAAAAUAUAUUCAAAAAUGAAGAAGAAAAGAAGAAAAUAAAAAAUAGGAAAGUUGAGGAGAGAGAAGAAAAGGAAGAGAGGUAAAAACAAAAGAUCUUGUGAAAAAC